UUUGGUAUGGAGCUUGAUUUACCUGACAUGGUUGCAGCUGUGUUUGAGGAAAGGGCAGAUUUCUUUACUUCUGCCUUGAACCAAACAUUUUAGUUGAAUAUUUGACAGAAAUGAAGAAGUAAUCUCCUUCAUCCUUCUAUUACAGGCUGACAAAGUGAUAAAGUCGAUCACCCGGACACACCCCUGGAUCUGCACUGUAAACUCUUAAAGGUUCCAAAUACCGAGGUGGAAUACUGACAAACAAACUGAUGAAGAACGGGUCAUGGCUUCCACGUCCGGUUUAAAAGGCAGUGCUUCGGAUCAUCCCAUAGGCCUCGUACAGUUUCUGGAGGAGCUCCUCUUUCUCAUCAUGAGGUGUCGUGCCAGGCCUGUGACAAACCCUGCAGUUGCCCUGGACCCGCCCCACAGUGCCCCGCCGGAGUCCCUCUGGUGCUGGACGGCUGCCGGUGCUGCCAGGUGUGCGCCCGGCAGCGAGGUGAACCCUGCACCCAGAAGUUUCCCUGCGACAGCCAAAGAGGACUGCAGUGCGACUACAGCCUCAGCCUCCCGGGGGAGGCAGGGGAGUGUGUCAGUCAGCAGGAUCUCGUCUGUGAAGUCAACGGCGUAACAUACCAAGACGGUCAGGCUUUUCAGCCCUCCUGUGACACCUACUGCUACUGCACAGGUGGAGGUGUGAGCUGUAAGUCGGCGUGUCCUCUGACCGGCCGUCUUCCCACUCCGGACUGUCCAAACCCACAAUUCAUCCGUCUGCCUGGGAAGUGCUGCAGGGAGUGGGUGUGUGAAAACCUGGAGAACACGGUCAUUCAGGAUGCAAUCACAGCCAUGAGACCCCGCACGUUUUGGCCUGCUCACACCAGGAAUCACAUUCUACAAAAACAAGUCCCGACUGUUCCGACUGCCCCGACCUGUGUGGAGCGGAGCACCCAGUGGAGCGCCUGCUCUCAGCGCUGUGGUGCUGGAGUCUCCACACGGGUCUCUAACCAGAACCCGGCCUGCAAGCUGCAAAUGGAAACUCGGCUUUGUAAAGUGCGGCCUUGCAAUAUGAUGCAGCCUGUCCAGAGGAACCCCAUGUGGGGACAGCAGGGGCGGUGCAAAGCCAGCUACACCUCACCUGGUCCCAUCCGGCUCAUCCACCAGGGCUGCUACAGCACUCAGGCCUACAAGCUCAGAUACUGCGGGCAGUGCACGGACUCCCGCUGCUGCACGCCGCAUCAAACCAGCACGGCUGAGGUGACCUUCAGGUGUCCCAGCGGCAGACUCAUACAGAGACCCGUGAUGAUGAUCCACUCUUGUGCUUGUCACAAUAACUGUCCAUACGCGCCUUACAGCAACCCUGCUCUGUGGGGGUUCAGACCCUGAAGGAUUCAUUGAGAUGAGAAAGACUUCACGUAUCAGGAGACCUUGAAAAAGAAAAUUCUAAAUGUUGAGUUGGAUUGAAUUAUGACCUUUACAUAUUUACAAUCUCACCUUGUAAUGCCAACGAAAGUCACCAGUGGUUGUGACUUAAGAUUCUAAAUUAUUCGCCCACUACAGAUGAAGAAUAGUUUAAAGCAUAACACAGAAGCAGAAAGAGAGCUUCAAAGGAAGAAGAAAAAAUGAGGGAGACAGACAUAUCACAACUUAGGUUUCAGAACAAUGUGCACUAAUUUUCCUUCAAGAGACUAUACCAAGAGGUCAGAGGUCACAUCUGCUUUUCUUAAAGAUGUUGUUCCUUUAAAUCAAAGUCAGCUUUUUAAAAACAAUCUUAAAAGUGACAGGAAGCCAGCUGUAAGAAAGUAAAACCGUUGUCGUGUGGUUUGAUGUUAAUUUUAUCAUGUUCAGUCACGUUAAAGACGAUGAAGAGAUGAACGUGUGUUGAAUUUUUCAGAUGCUAAAGAUGAAACAGGACAAAAGCAGUCAAACGCCAAGCUCUGUGUUUUGGUUGGGCUCAGAAAUAGUUAGAUCCUUCCAAACUAUGAUAUCUGGUUCAAGAAAAAUAAAGUCUUUCAUUUCCAAAAGCGGUCAACUGAGGACUGCUCCGAUCUGUAAAUAGUUUUAAAGUCAGGUAAACACUGCUAACCAUCAAAAUAUGUCGUUACGAGUAAAAACCCCCUCCUCAAAAUGACCCCAACUUUUGAGUUGACAGACGUGUUCUGACGUGAGCGAUGCAGCUUUCGACUUGUACAGUUAUGUGUGUAUAUUUGUAGUAAGAUGACAUUGCACUUAUUUCUUCAUUCUCUGCUUUGUUGUAAAUAUUUCUGUAAAGUCUGAAAUGUAAAGUGAAACAUGUUUCAAUAUUUUAAAUGUGUCCUGUAUUUUGCUCUGAUCUAUUUUUGUUAUACUGUACUAUUCAUGGAUUUAUAUCAUCAUUUUGUACAUACUGUUGAUUCUUCGGUACCUUACCCCAACAUUCUAUUUCAUCAUUCAUCAUUAAAUGACUGUACAGUGCACUACUACUAUGCAGAAAUACACGGAACCAAAGAAAUCCAUUCUGGUGAUUCAUAUAAAGAAAUGAACUACA